GACUUGAGAAGCAAAGGAAAUGUGUGGUUAUCCGGAUCGACGCCAUUUCGGCGCAUUCUCGUAUAGAAAUCAAGAGACAUUACAGGUUGGGCGCUGACAGAGAAGCCUCCGAUAAUGGUAUUCCAUAGGUAGAUUCUGGUUGUUUCCAUGUGGUGGAAGAGGAGUGAAGCGUAGAGGAGAUGGCAGCCAUGAUUGAGAGUGAUGGAAUGGAGAAGUUUGGUAAAGAAGAAGGUGUCCCGUAAGAGACCACGAGUGAUGAGGAAUGAGUGAAUUUGCUUAAGAUGGUUUAAGCUUUUGUAACUAUUUAGUAAUAUGGUGAGCUCCCUGCUUGCAGACAUUCAUUCUCCC
rnacentral:misc_RNA from 1 species